AUUGAAACAAUUCAGAAUUUCGUAUAUCCGUUCCGGUUUGGUUCUACAUUUAGCGACCUAAUUCUGCUUCCCGUAGUGACAGAAAAAUGGGCUUCAAUAUUGUCAUUAUUGAGUAAAUGUUGUUGGUGUCUUAUUGAAAGAAGACUAAUUAAUUAAACAGAAUGAGAUCAUAAAUAGAGAAGCUUACAGAAGAUGGGGCCUUUCGAAUGAAGGAGAGUAAGGAAAGUGAUUGGGCUAUUCCAAGAAGUGAAGAAUCAAAUUGUCAUGUGUUUGGAAUUAAGAAUAUUGUACAACUAUUCCCACAAGAAGAAGCAUUUCCCUACAGCCUAGUACAGGGUACCAUGUGGCAAUAUAAAUCCAAAGGACAAACAAGGCCAAGUUAAAAGCCACUUUCC